GACGAACGCUUGCGGCAUGCUUAACACAUGCAAGUCGCACGGCUGGGGAAACCCAGCAGUGGCGGACGGGUGAGUAACGCGUGGGGAUCUGUCUCCGGGUGGGGGAUAACCAUGGGAAACUAUGGCUAAUACCGCAUGAUACCCGAGGGUCAAAGGCGCAAGUCGCCUGGAGAGGAACCCGCGUACGAUUAGCUUGUUGGCGGGGUAAUGGCCCACCAAGGCGACGAUCGUUAGCNGGUCUGAGAGGAUGAUCAGCCACACUGGGACUGAGACACGGCCCAGACUCCUACGGGAGGCAGCAGGUGGGGAAUAUUGGACAAUGGGCGCAAGCCUGAUCCAGCAAUGCCGCGUGAGUGAAGAAGGUCUUCGGAUUGUAAAGCUCUUUCGGACGGGGACGAUGAUGA
rnacentral:rRNA from 1 species